UACACAAUUCUUGCAAUUUUGAGCUAAGACCUUAUCAAAUUGCUCAAGAUAUAGCUCAAGAGACAUUCACUAAUAAAUCGGGUUACUUACUACCCUUAGAUUGCAUGUGCUGACUUCAAAAUCCAAUAACUCCUUUAGAUUAACUUGGAAUCCAGUAAGCAAUAUGUGAAAAGUGUAGCCGAAAAAGUGUUCUCUCUAAUCAUGGUCACCGAUCCUCAAUUGCUAUCCGUACGCCUGCGGUAUGCCAAAAAGAGUGACA
rnacentral:lncRNA from 1 species